UGAUACCAGCAGUACCUGAUAGAUUCAGUAAUCUGCAAAGAGGCAAAAGAUUAGAUUAUGAGCCAGGAGGAUCAUGUAUAAUCAAAGAGGUUUUUAGGACGCCACCUCCUCCGGGCUUUGUAUCAUCUAUACUGGUAGAUGUUCUAGAUCGGUUUCCUGUUGAAUCUAAAGCUGCUAGCCCUUGUACAGCAAACACUUUAAGAAUUUUGCCCC